rnacentral:rRNA from 1 species
CACGCCGUAAACGAUGAUAACUAGCUGUCCGGGUUCAUAGAACUUGGGUGGCGCAGCUAACGCAUUAAGUUAUCCGCCUGGGGAGUACGGUCGCAAGAUUAAAACUCAAAGGAAUUGACGGGGGCCUGCACAAGCGGUGGAGCAUGUGGUUUAAUUCGAAGCAACGCGCAGAACCUUACCAGCGUUUGACAUCCUGAUCGCGGAUUAGAGAGAUCUUUUCCUUCAGUUCGGCUGGAUCAGUGACAGGUGC